UACGUAGGGGCGAGCGUUGUCCGGAAUUAUUGGGCGUAAAGAGCUCGUAGGCGGCUCAGCAAGUCGGCUGUGAAAUCCCGAGGCUCAACCUCGGAACUGCAGUCGAUACUGCUGUGGCUAGAGUCUGGUAGAGGAGAAUGGAAUUCCCGGUGUAGCGGUGAAAUGCGCAGAUAUCGGGAGGAACACCAGUAGCGAAGGCGGUUCUCUGGGCCAGUACUGACGCUGAGGAGCGAAAGCGUGGGGAGCAAACAGGAUUA
rnacentral:rRNA from 1 species